rnacentral:rRNA from 1 species
UACGAAGGGUGCAAACGUUGCUCGGAAUUAUUGGGCGUAAAGCGCACGUAGGCGGCAUUGCAAGUCGGAUGUGAAAUCCCUCGGCUUAACCAAGGAAGUGCAUCCGAAACUGCAGUGCUUGAGUACUUAAGAGGAUCGCGGAAUUCCCGGUGUAGAGGUGAAAUGCGCAGAUAUCAGGAAGAACACCCGUGGCGAAGGCGGCUCUCUGGGACGGUACUGACGCUGAGACGCGAAAGCGUGGGGAGCGAACAGG